GACGUAGGGCGCGAGCGUUGUCCGGAUUUAUUGGGCGUAAAGAGUUCGUAGGCGGCUUGUCGCGUCGGCUGUGAAAACUUGGGGCUCAACCCCAAGCCUGCGGUCGAUACGGGCAGGCUCGAGUUCGGUAGGGGAGACUGGAAUUCCUGGUGUAGCGGUGAAAUGCGCAGAUAUCAGGAGGAACACCGGUGGCGAAGGCAGGUCUCUGGGCAUUAACUGACGCUGAGGAGCGAAAGCAUGGGGAGCGAACAGG
rnacentral:rRNA from 1 species